CACCUAGUCUGAGAGAUCGUGGAUCGAGGUGAUGUCAAGCUUCAGAAGAUCGAUGGAAAGAAGAAUCUGGCCGAUCCAUUUACUAAAGCCCUCAGCGUUAAGGAGUUCAAAGACUACAAAUCAAAGAUGGGUGUACGAUACUGCACCGAUUGAUUUUAGUCCAAGUGGAAGUUGUUAGAAAUUAUGUUCCAAAAUCAAUCGUCAGCCUGUUGAUGGUUGUGCUUAUCAUUGUAAUUGUAUAUGAGUUAUUAAAUUAAU
rnacentral:lncRNA from 1 species